GGAGGGGUGGCCGAGCGGUCGAAGGCGAUGGUCUUGAAAAUCAUUGAGGUGCAAGCCUCCGUGGGUUCGAAUCCCACCCCCUCCG
rnacentral:tRNA from 1 species